AUUGAACGCUAGCGGGAUGCCUUACACAUGCCAGUCGAACGGCAGCACGGACUUCGGUCUGGUGGCGAGUGGCGAACGGGUGAGUAAUGUAUCGGAACGUGCCCAGUAGCGGGGGAUAGCUACGCGAAAGCGUAGCUAAUACCGCAUACGCCCUACGGGGGAAAGCAGGGGAUCGCAAGACCUUGCACUAUUGGAGCGGCCGAUAUCGGAUUAGCUAGUUGGUGGGGUAACGGCUCACCAAGGCGACGAUCCGUAGCUGGUUUGAGAGGACGACCAGCCACACUGGGACUGAGACACGGCCCAGACUCCUACGGGAGGCAGCAGUGGGGAAUUUUGGACAAUGGGGGAAACCCUGAUCCAGCCAUCCCGCGUGUGCGAUGAAGGCCUUCGGGUUGUAAAGCGCUUUUGGCAGGAAAGAAACGUCGCGGGUUAAUACCUCGCGAAACUGACGGUACCUGCAGAAUAAGCACCGGCUAACUACGUG
rnacentral:rRNA from 1 species